rnacentral:lncRNA from 1 species
GUUCUUAAGGUCAUAGUCCCUUUGGUUUAAAAUGUCCCUUCGGAAUAAGAAUGGUCUUAAGAACAUAGUCCCUUCGGUAAAAUUCGUCCCUUCAGAAAUAAAAGUAUUCUUAAGAUCAUAGUCCCUUUUGAGAAAAAUUGUCCCUUCGAAAAAUAAGAAUGAUCUUAAGAAUAUAGUUCAUCUUUUUAUAUUUUAUGCCCUUGGAGAAGUUAGAGGUUAGA